GCUGGGCAUGGUGGUGCACGCCUGUAAUGUCAGUUACUUGAGAGGCUGAGGCAGGAGGAUCCCAAGUUCAAGGCCAGUCUGGGCAACUUAGUAAGACCCUGUCUCAA
rnacentral:sRNA from 1 species